rnacentral:rRNA from 1 species
CAGCAGCCGCGGGAAUACGAAGGGGGCUAGCGUUGCUCGGAAUGACUGGGCGUAAAGGGCGCGUAGGCGGAUGGCACAGUCAGAUGUGAAAUUCCCGGGCUUAACCUGGGGGCUGCAUUUGAUACGUGUUGUCUAGAGUGAGGAAGAGGGUUGUGGAAUUCCCAGUGUAGAGGUGAAAUUCGUAGAUAUUGGGAAGAACACCGGUGGCGAAGGCGGCAACCUGGUCCUUGACUGACGCUGAGGCGCGAAAGCGUGGGGAGCAAACAGGAUUAGAUACCCCCGUAGUCCCUGUCUCUUAUAC